rnacentral:rRNA from 1 species
GACGAACGCUGGCGGCAUGCCUAAUACAUGCAAGUCGAGCGAACAGAUGAAGUGCUUGCGCUUCUGACGUUAGCGGCGAACGGGUGAGUAACACGUAAGGAAUCUACCUAUAAGCGGGGGAUAACAUUCGGAAACGGGUGCUAAUACCGCAUAAUAUCUUCUUCCGCUUGGAAGAAGAUUGAAAGACGGCUCUGCUGUCACUUAUAGAUGACCUUGCGGUGCAUUAGUUAGUUGGUGGGGUAAUGGCCUACCAAGACGAUGAUGCAUAGCCGACCUGAGAGGGUGAUCGGCCACAUUGGGACUGAGACACGGCCCAAACUCCUACGGGAGGCAGCAGCAGGGAAUCUUCCGCAAUGGGCGAAAGCCUGACGGAGCAAUGCCGCGUGAGUGAAGAAGGCCUUCGGGUCGUAAAACUCUGUUAUAAGAGAAGAACAAAUUGUAGAGUAACUGCUACAGUCUUGACGGUAUCUUAUCAGAAAGCCACGGCUAACUACGUGCCAGCCGCCGCGGUAA